rnacentral:rRNA from 1 species
ACCCGCUGAACUUAAGCAUAUCAAUAAGCGGAGGAAAAGAAACCAACAGGGAUUGCCCUAGUAACGGCGAGUGAAGCGGCAACAGCUCAAAUUUGAAAUCUGGCUCUUUUAGAGUCCGAGUUGUAAUUUGCAGAGGGCGCUUUGGCUUUGGCAGCGGUCCAAGUUCCUUGGAACAGGACGUCACAGAGGGUGAGAAUCCCGUACGUGGUCGCUGGCUAUUGCCGUGUAAAGCCCCUUCGACGAGUCGAGUUGUUUGGGAAUGCAGCUCUAAAUGGGAGGUACAUUUCUUCUAAAGCUAAAUAUUGGCCAGAGACCGAUAGCGCACAAGUAGAGUGAUCGAAAGAUGAAAAGCACUUUGGAAAGAGAGUCAAACAGCACGUGAAAUUGUUGAAAGGGAAGCGCUUGCAGCCAGACUUGCUUACAGUUGCUCAUCCGGGCUUUUGCCCGGUGCACUCUUCUGUAGGCAGGCCAGCAUCAGUUUGGGCGGUAGGAUAAAGGUCUCUGUCACGUACCUCUCUUCGGGGAGGACUUAUAGGGGAGACGACAUACUACCAGCCUGGACUGAGGUCCGCGCAUCUGCUAGGAUGCUGGCGUAAUGCCUGU